rnacentral:sRNA from 1 species
UGACAACAUAAGAUUUCUCCUAAAAGGCC